ACAGAGGCCUCAAGCGUUAGGCGGAAUCACUGGGCUUAAAGCGUGUGUAGGUGGAUGCCUAAGUACCUUGUGAAAUCCCACGGCUCAACCGUGGAACUGCUGGGUAUACUGGGUGUCUUGGGCCAUUCAGGGGCGACUGGAACAAGCGGUGGAGCGGUGAAAUGCGUAGAUAUCGCUUGGAACGCCGAAGGUGAAAACAGCUCGCUGGGGGUGUGCUGACGCUGAGACACGAAAGCCAGGGGAGCGAACGGGA
rnacentral:rRNA from 1 species